GCGCUGGGGGGGGUGGGAGGGGGGGGAGCGAGCGAGUGAGUGAGUGGCUGAGUGAGUUUAUCCCUAUGAGGCGGUGAGAGGCCCGGGGCCUACCUCAAAGGAGCGGGGUCGCGGCGCCAGCUAGCAGCGGGCCCCCUCCCGGUCCCCGGGCCCGGCGGCGCGGCGGCGGCGGCUCGGUUUUGAGGAGGCGGGGAAGCGGGCGUCCGGCCCCAGCCAUGGAGGGCAUGGACGUGGACCUGGACCCCGAGCUGAUGCAGAAGUUCAGCUGCUUGGGCACCACCGACAAGGACGUGCUCAUCUCCGAGUUCCAGCGGCUGCUCGGCUUCCAGCUCAACCCGGCCGGCUGCGCCUUCUUCCUGGACAUGACCAACUGGAACCUACAAGCAGCAAUUGGCGCCUAUUACGACUUUGAGAGCCCAAACAUCAGUGUGCCCUCUAUGUCGUUUGUUGAAGAUGUCACCAUAGGAGAAGGGGAGUCGAUACCUCCUGAUACUCAGUUUAUAAAGACAUGGCGGAUCCAGAAUUCUGGGGCAGAGGCCUGGCCUCCAGGGGUUUGUCUUAAAUAUGUCGGGGGAGACCAAUUUGGACAUGUGAACAUGGUGAUGGUGAGAUCGCUAGAGCCCCAAGAGAUUGCAGAUGUCAGCGUCCAGAUGUGCAGCCCCAGCAGAGCAGGAAUGUAUCAGGGACAGUGGCGGAUGUGCACUGCUACAGGACUCUACUAUGGAGAUGUCAUCUGGGUGAUUCUCAGUGUGGAGGUGGGUGGACUUUUAGGAGUAACGCAGCAGCUGUCAUCUUUUGAAACGGAGUUCAACACACAGCCACAUCGCAAGGUAGAAGGAAACUUCAACCCGUUUGCCUCUCCCCAAAAGAACCGACAAUCAGAUGAAAACAACUUAAAAGACCCUGGGGGUUCCGGGUUCGACUCGAUCAGCAAAAACACAUGGGCUCCUGCUCCUGACCAAACCGAGCAAGAUGAGAAUAGACUCUCACAGAACUCUGUAAAUCUGUCCCCCAGCAGUCACGCAAACAACUUAUCAGUAGUGACUUACAGUAAGUGAACUUAGUGCUGCGAAAGGAGCACUAGACAGACGCAGCGCUGACCAGGACUGGCCCAGGAAGUGAGGAGGAGGAGGGCCCGGCGGUGUUACCUGAUGCUGCCAUCAGUGUGCACCUGGAGAGCCCUGCCACGCACGCUCCUUUGUGUUAACGUGUGUGAACCUUUUUAUUUAUUUAAAUCACAAAUAAAAGCAAAAUAAAGACAGGGGCUCCACGGGCCUUACCCCUUCGGCCAGUCUUAAACGGGCAUCGGCAAGAAGAAAAAUUAACAAAAGACAGAAGGCCUGACUUUGGGGUGGGGGGGAGGGCAGGGGGUUCCUCUGGAUUGCAGACCACACCGCAUGGACCCCUGGCUCUGACCCCCCCUCCCCCAUCCUGGAAGAAGAGGAAGAAGCAGAACUAGUUUUGAGUAAACUCAGUAUGCAUGUGUGAAUGCUGAAUCGCGGAAUGGUGUUGAGGCUACUAAGAAGAAACCCAUGCAGCCGCCUUGGGUUUUGUUUAUUAGGCGUCAGUCUAACAAGUCAUUAGGUCACUCGGGAAGGAAAAAAAAGUUUCAAAUGGGGGAAAAAAAGCCAUCUUUUUAAACAAAAAUUAUUUUGCCUACAGACAGGUUGUAGUUUUGAGCACAUGUUAAUUUUUUCCCCCUUUCCUCACUUUUUUUUUUCUUUAGGUAAGGGAUAACGUACCCUUUCUAGAAUAGCUGCUUGCUCUGGAAGCGAUUCAGGUUACAAGCUGGAGUGGCAUGUUUGGGGACUCUGCGGGUCCGUGCCACAGGAGGACAUCUCCUGCGCCACCCGACUCCAGCAGUCUCUGACCCCGUUUGUUUUUAAUGGCAUCGGCCAAUGAGUUAUCAUUCUUUUCCUCUUCUUUUCUCUUUAAUCUUCUGUUGACUUACACCUUUGACAUUUGUAUCCGUCAACCCCUGUGGCUUGUUACCAUCAGAACCUCUCUGAAGACCAAACUUCCCUGUGUGGCCAGCAGAGGAAGCCUUGAAGACAGAUCUCGGGCAACAUGGGAGUUUCUAAGGCCGAGAGGUGUCCUUCUGCACACACUUAUAACAACUCAAAUUGCUUUUCUUCCAUGUUUCUCUUGGCAGAGAGAGAUGCCAUCACGCUUACUACUCUUUUGGAUUCUUCAUACACAGCGGCUCCCCAUUCACUCUGGGAACAGUGCCUCUGUGCUGCGUACAUGUGUGUGCCACGUGCACACACACACGGGUGUUGAUGCAGCUCACCAGCAAAGUGUGCAGCAGGCAGGUGGAAAGGUGUCCAGGCUUCUCUGUUGUGACACAACUCCCUUCCUUGUGUUUCCCUCCCAUUGUCCUUUGUGGUAUUUUCACAGCCUGUUAGUGGAGGCUGAGCUGUUAAGAUAUGGAAAUAUAGCCCCAAGCAGGGAGUUGGCCAUGGGGAGGGGCCACAGUUACUGACUGUGAUUUUGGAGACCACAGUUCGAUGAAACGAGAGCACCCCCACCCUGAGCAGGAUGCUUGGCUAGUGGGAGGUGGUGGGCGAGGGGCAGCCCAGCCAGAGCAGAGGCUACUUGGCUGGCUGCCCACUUGGGCAGGUGGCCCCACUGGAAUCCUAUGGAUUCCAAGCAGGUUGAGCUGUGGACCUCUCCAUGGGAAGCUUGAACCAGGCUAGAACAGCUGUCUGCCAAAGAUACAAGAAUAUGCAAAGUCCCUCUUCUCUUUCCUUCUCACCUCCCCCUCCUUCCCUUGAGUCUUGGCUGGUUUGAUAGCCGCGGAUGUGGAUCUAGGGUGCGGUUGCAGGGUUACCUGCCUAUUAACCGCAUCCCCACCCACCUCGGGGGUGUGAGAUAAGCUGGGAGACCAGGUGAUGAGCGGCUGCAGGGGGUCAUAGAGCCUGGGUGUGGGUGAGGGUCUGCCUGCCCGUCUGUCUCUUUCUGGGUGUCCAAGCUCCAGAAAUGUGUGCUCUUUGUUCCUCCUUGUCCUCUUUUGAGACUAUUGUUUUCUAAAGCUUGAUUGUGGGAGAAAAGCUUGUAUGAAAUUCCUCCUUCACCUCCCCACCUCCCCAAAAAUAAAAGGCAGGAAACCCUUUGGUCUACUGGAGAAGCUCUGGGGGAGGAUGGAGCCAACCUGCUGAGAAGGUCUGGCAGCUGGGUCUGGGGCUAGCCUAAGGCUCACACAGGAGCGGCCGUUUGCAGUGCUUUCAAGUGCCCCAGUCCUGAGCAGAGCAGAGGGGCGUCCCUGGUGGGUGCCCAGGCCGUCACUGGCCCAAGCCAGGGGCUCACCAUGACUUUUUGUCUGAGGGCCCUGUUGGGCCCAGCUUGCCACUACUGUUGGUGCCAACCUCCUGGGACCCUGCCACCCUGGAGCCCACACACGCCCAGCCCUCCAAAUAGCACAUCUCCAGCUGCCGCUGGCAGGAUCGUGGGAGGCUUUACAUGGCCUGGUUUCCUGGCCCCCUCAUCUGCCGCACACCUGGUGUCCCUUCCCCAUUUCCCAGGAGGGGGUGCUUUCAUAGGUCACCGUUAGUGGGUCUGGUCCUGCCAGAGGCAUCCUGCUCUUCCCCUCGGCUUGUAGGCAAGGUGACUGUCCCAAGCACAUUGACUCACCUCCCAAGAGCAAACCAUUUCUGUGUGCAUCACUGGAGAGGCAAGCUCCUUGCAGAGAGCCAGAGCAAGCACAAGCCGCGCGGUAGGAGUUGGGAUUCCACGGCUCCCCCAGGACCAGGGGGGCACCAGUCCCAUUCAUUCUGUCUCCUCUCACUGGUUUGAGUUCUGAGCAGUGCCUAGAGCCCCUCUCCUCCCCUGCCUAGUGUGGUGGUAGAAGUGACCCUUUCAGCCCCAGAAGGCAGGCUGCCUCUAGGCAGGACCACCAGUAUCCAGCACCCAUGAGAGGAGGCAGACGGCACCCUUAGGGGCCUGAGCCCAGCGAGGGAGGCAGAGGGGCUCAGGCCUGGGAAGAACCUAGCGUGUGCAUGGAGUGAGGUGUGUGUGGAUGUGUGUACGCGUGCAUGCCUUUUUUUUUUCCUUUUUGUCAUGGAGGCAGUUGAAUUCGGGGUAUUUUUCUACAAGAAACAGCCUUCUCUCCCCCAGUAAGGAUUGGCUGUAACCUUAAGCUCAUCAUAGAACCUCACCAAGACAGCUCGUGUGGCUUGGGGGUGGCCAAGAUGGGAUCCCCAAAUUCAGUCGGAGCCCCAGCAGGAGAGGAUGGUGGGGUUGCUAGGGCUCAGAAAUGCAAGCUGAUUCCCCCACCCCACCCUGCCUUGCCUUUCCUUCAUUUCCUUGAGUGAAUGCUGGAGCAGCUGUGGCUGCCCCCUCCACCUGGACAGUGGUGUGUAGCGAGCAAGCUGGGUGGGUGUUUGUGGUGGGGCCUCAUGGUGCCUGGGAGGAGAUGAAGAUGGGGAGGUUUUUCCUUACUGUAUAAAUGAAUAUUUGUAUGAUUAAAUUAACACACACACACACACACACACACACCAAAAAAAAAACCUA